ensembl:lncRNA
AUAAUUCAAUUAUGCUUGCGUUCCUAGUUGUGAUCUGUUCUGGAUGAGAAACAUUUACUUAACUGUAAUAUAUUUAACUGCAUCAGGAGUUGCCAGAGAAGUGGAAUAACAUGAAGAAGUUGGCCUGGACAGUGAAACAUGAGGUUGCUCCUCUUCAUACUGCAGAGGUGGCCAUGAUCCGCAGGAAGUGUGUGGCCUUUGAGGUGUUCUCAUUUGCUGAAGGCUUUAAUGAUUGAAAUGUAAACUUUCAAUUCUUUAAGCAAAAUUAAAUGUUUUUAGUUUUAAAUGUCAGAAGGUUUUCAUUGCAACUCCAGGAUAAAUUCUUAAUAAAGCAUGCUUAUGUUUUUGCUGAUUCAUGUCUCUCUUCACAGAAAAAGCUGAAUCUGUGCCGAGAGAGGUUUAAAAGAGAAGCUUCUCUUCAGUACAACACAGAGAAACCAUAUGCUCGCCUGGAUAAAGUAAAUGUUUAUUUCUUCUCAUUCAAGCAAACAAUCAUACUACAUAAUUAAUUUUCAUUCAUUUACAUACAUUGACCUUUUGUUUAUGCAGUGUGUCUGUUAUUGUCACAGAGAGAUGCUGGUUUUAGAGGAAGAGAAUGCAGAUCUCCAGGUGUCCUGUAAGCUAUUUGAAGUGAGCAGCCCCGAUACUAAGCAGCUCAUGUUCGGUCAGAGAGACAUUGCUGUUUUGAAACAGCUCUGGGAUCUGCUGCUGUGCGCUCAGUCGCAGUAUAGCAGAAUGGACAGGGAUGAAAUGGAAGGAGAUCAGUGUAGAACACAUGGAGACAGAGCUGAGGAGGUUUACAAAAGUAAGAAUGCUUGUAUCAGCACCAUUCCAGCAUCCCAAAAGUAAUCUUUUUCCUCAAAGCACAUUGUGGAAGAUGUCUAUCUUAUAUCUAACACUGACUUAAUGUCUGGUCAGGAAAUGCGGGUUCUUAAUAAAGAGGCCAGUGUCUGGGACA